rnacentral:rRNA from 1 species
CGCAGCGAAAUGCGAUAAGUAAUGUGAAUUGCAGAAUUCAGUGAAUCAUCGAAUCUUUGAACGCACAUUGCGCCCCUUGGCAUUCCGAGGGGCAUACCUGUUCGAGCGUCAUUG